AAGUGACUCGCAGCAACUGUAUGUGCUUGAAGGAGAACGCAUUCUCGCGUAGAUGCUCCUUUUUACGGAAUCCUCCUCGGACGCGUAACAUGGGCCAUAAUGCCAUGUUAUGGAACUUUGCCAUUGUAUUGUUUCCGUGGAUCUGUUUGCGAUACACGAGUGUUUCUUUCAGCACAUUCACCUAUGACCCCAGUCAUCGAGUUUGGUAAACCUAAACGACCACCUGUACAUACAAGAUAUCCAUUUUGCUUAUCUCCUAACCUAAACCCACCAAAAAAGGCACAUCGAGUACAUGCGAGGCGUGCAAGGUGUUCGUGCGCCAUGGAAUGUAGAAAAGAAUGGCCAUGGAAGGAAUGGCAGACCCACUGGCCAUAAUAUUGAGCUACGCACACGCAACUUGCCAUUCCAUAUACACUUAGCGCCUUCGUCGAUGUUUUAAUGACGACAUUGUCAUGAAAACGUAUUCUGCUGGCAAAAUCAUGGAACCUUUCUGCCCUUUCUUCAUGGUAGACCGCGGAGGCAUUCCUUAUAGCCCCCCGUAACAUGUUAUCACGCCAACUUAUGUAACGUUAAAAAUUUGACUAUGUUUGAUAGUAAAAAAUUCUUAACUUCGAAUAUGUUGAACUCGUUGAAAUAAGUUGAAACCAAUUUACUAUUAAUAGAUUAAUAACUUCUCUAUUUUGCAAAAAAAAAAAAGGAUGAGAGCUUUAAUAUUCUUUGCACGGUUUAAAUUAUCACACUUUGUUACUACUACAUUGUCACACUGUGCAGUAUUAUACUUAAUACUGCUUCAACACUGUUUGGUGCGUUUCCUGACCCCUUGAAGUUAACUAUGUAUGUAAUAUAGAAUGUUGGUGAGACGACGGGAAUCUUUUCACCCGGCUCUCACCCGGAAACCUCAACAGCGUUAAACGUGGCAGUAUUAAAUAUUGGAUUGCCAGAUAAGUCUUAAACCUUUCAGAGGUCACAUUUUUGCUCAGAAACAACAAAAAUUCUGUAUGAAUGGCAUAAUAGAACUAUUCAAUAGGUGGCAGAAUAUUAUUGAAUGAAGUGGUGCAUAUUUGAUUUAAUUAUAUUAUUACAAAGUGUUCAAAUAGAGUAUAAUAAAUAUUAGAAAAGCUUCAAGACUUAUCUGAUAAUCUAAUACUGCACAGUGUAACAAUGUUAAGUGUAAAAAAGAUAAAGAUCAUUUUGAGGACUGGAUACAUUAUUUCAGGUAAAACUCGGCAAAGUUUCUGUUAUCCAGAACGAAUCUUGACCGCUCCUUGUGCGUUUCGUCUCAUUUAAAUCACGGGACUGAAUGAAAUCUCGUUUUCCCGUUACAUGGAAUCUGAUUCAUGCGCGAAUCACGCCGAUCGGCGUGGAAAGAGAACGCAUUCUUCUCUAGCCGCCUCUAUCCACCGUACCUUCGGCCAUUCCAUGGAUGCUGGACACUUUGUAGAUACGUCCAACUAACGAUCCAAAUAGAGAGAAUCAACGAACAAACUUUGGUGUCACGAAACGAAGGAACCUUCUUAUCCGGCUGCGAGGAACGCGAAUGCAAAGAAUUCAGUAUUCAAUCGCGCCACAACUCGUGUUGUGCCUAUUUUGUAAGAAAAUUCUUACGAGAUCCCGAUGGGUGAUCGUUGGAUAUGCAAAGUUAUAUAGCGUCACGCGUAUCGCACUUUUUGCGCCGAGGUGGUGACAGUCUAAGCUGGAAUUAAUAACAAAAAAAUUCAUCUAUUAGUUUACUAGGCUUAUAAAAUUGGAGGAAUUUUAUGGCGUUGAUCCUUGAUGACCUUGAGUCAUUAAUUCAAUUCAUAAAUGAUGAAACCACAUAACAAGAAAUUGCUAGACUAUGGAACAUUAAAACAUUUUAUAUUAAUAACUGAUUAUUGAACUGAAAAACAUAAAAAUGUUGUAUAUAUCGAUUAGUUUUUAGGCUAGAAUAAUAUGAAAUUAGUUUAUGCUACAUAGGAAAUUUAGUAGUUGAUGAGACCAUAGAUUUAACAGUAUGAAUAGAAAGAGAAAAUAUUGAAGAAUGCAGUGUAGCUCAUAAUGCACCAACAGUAGGGAGAACUAAAAAGGGUAGUUAAAAGAACAUAGAGAGUAUAGAAAGUCACUAAAAUAACAGUAGAAUCCUGCAAGAUCACAAAUAAAAAGAAGCCCAACUAUACAUGAUAAGGUAAUGAAAAAUAUAAUACCAAUAUCUAAUAACACAAUGUUAUAAUUAUAAUCUUAAAAGAAAGAAACUAACCUAUUUCUGUGCCAGGAACAGAAACCAAGACAGACCAAAAGAGCGAAGAAGAGAAACAACGGUACUGUUCGUUACGCGAAGAUGCAUCGAAAAUUUCACCUGACCAGCAAUGGUCAAUUUCACGGAUAGCAAGAGCGUACCAGAGGCUGAAUCGCGCGAGUUAAUCAUACGCGACGCAAGUAGGCCGACCUGGGCAAAAACAAACGAUAUGCGCACGCGGCCGCGCCGCGUGCGAUAUAUAUAAUUGGCCAGCGUAUUGCUAGCGGCUCGUGAAGUAUUCCAGCAAAUCCGACAUACAUUCCAGCGCGGAUCCCGGCUACUUACGUUCCGCCUCGCUGUGGAAUGCAGUCACCUUGUGGCAGGUGUACGGUGUACCGAACGUCCUCAAACAUUUCAACCUCCUACUUUCCCCGAUUUGAAUUCAAAUGCGUCUUCGUUGUGGCAAGUGGGAGCAACGGGAUCUGGCUGAACCAGUCGUUUCGGGAUUGGUCUUCCUUCGUUGUACCAUUGAAGUACUGAAACAUUGAUUAUUGUUUGAUAUCUGAUUUUUAGAGAUUUUUGGUAUUAAAAGAAAUAAGAUUGAUUGAAUAUUCAUUCUUAAUUAAUGAACUGUGCAUAGUUAUGCAAGUUUAUAUUUUUAUGAAUGUAUCCAUAUAAAAGAAUACAGCAUAAACAGAGAGAGAUUGACACGUUAUACAGCUUUCAAUGAGAGAACUACUACGACGAAUAGUGGGGUUAGUGGCCUUGAACGGUCAAAUAUUUUUCACUGCCUAUUCACACUUAACUCCACACUUCUCUUGUAUAACACAAUACAAUGCCUACAUCAUAACGACAUAAACUAAAUUACAAUAAUGAACUGUAAUAUAACAACAAUAAAACUACAUUAUAACACUAAUAAUAAACCUAUAAGAAUACAUAUAUCUAAUUUCAUGGUUCAUCUUCUUUUAUUUCAUCAGUCAGAAUCAGCUUGCUUUUUCAUAAUCUUAUAUUAUAACAUUCUGCCUUUUGCAUUCUGGUGAUGAAUACUUAUCUGUAUAUUAUUAGUAUAAAUUAUAAUCGUCCAAUGUAGCACAGAAGUAUUACAGUAAUCGUCCUAAAUGUACCUCAGCUGAAUAUUUCAACUUGCAUAGAAGCAACUUGGAUAGACAACCAAUGAUCUAUUGAAGAAAAUAAAUGAAAAAAAAACCAAUGGAAUGGAAUAAUUUUAGGUUAGAUAUACACGAAUACGAAUCGAACUAACGGAUCCAUGGAGCUCGUUUACGCGACCUCUGGGCGGUCAUCUCGCGGUUAAAUGCGCGAGAGGCUUUCUCCGUGGAUUGGAAUGCGGCCUCUCCCUCUGACCGGCUCUCUGACUUGCUUCGAGGAUAACCAUGGAGGUGUACGUCGGCUUCUAGGUUCGCUCUUUACUGAUUCUAGUUUCCCCAUGGCUACAUGCCGGAAAAUCGGAUACCGGUUACUUCUUUCUCGAAAUAUAGUUGAAUCAGAUAAAAGGAUUUUGACAGCCUGUGAGAUGAGUUGGUAACCUUGGUGACAACAAGUACGACUUCCAAAUUUGAGCAUGCGACAUAUAGGUCAAGGUCAUUAUAGAAACUAUAUUCAUACAGAUGUGAACUAGAAAAUUUUUCUAGAUAUUCAAGUUUGUACGCGAGAUUAUAAACCAUGUUAUCAUUUAGAUAAUAAUCAACUAAUAAAAACGUUGAGUAGCCAAAUAUUAAUCAGGCAUAACAGCAAUUAAAAAUAUUCAUAACUGUACAAAUAUAUCCUAUUCUCUUCUUUCUAAGAUUAUUUACAAACAUGUAAUGUAAACACAAUAAUACCACCAAAAUAUUCCCAAUAUAAUGCUAUACUACGA